CUCGCUGUACACGAAGUCCACGUUUCCGGGUCUGCUUCUGAACCGUAGAUCAUCUUGCCGUUGACUAGGCUUUAGACGCGUAGGAAGCCAUUUCUUGAGUACGGCUUCUCAAGGGUAAGAGACUGCUGUUCAAGCUGAAGUCGCCUGAUUCACACUCUGAACAUAUACACGUGGAGUAGAAAGACAGACUACUCAUUGCUUAGUGAUGGAAGUUUUGUCAGAUGAAGAUUGUGUGGUAGGGGAACCCAUUCGGGGUAACCGAACGUGACGCACUGUCACUGUCUGUGUGGCUGAAACUAGUACUUUUCCCCCAUCUAGCAAACUACUUGAACUGUGGAACUGUGAAAUUAUGUAUCUUGUCGAACUAGAGUCAGCAAAAGUUUGUCUAGCUUAUCCAACUCGUCAUGGAAGGCGAGAAAUUGUCUUGGCUGCUUUCAGUCGAACUCCACACUGUAUCAAGCACAUUUCUCUACACAAAACCUGAAUACAAGGUCUUGCUCGAGAACUCUAAUCUUGUUUUGAAGUUCCACUAUUUCAUUUGCUUGCUGUUCAAUUAUCGGACGUAAACCGUCAGCUUCAGCGCCUCAGUGACAUUUUUGACAACUAACAUCUUCAAUUUUGAGAUCACUACUAUACACAUGUCUUGAUCAACUGCAAAUGAGGUAGAACAGCCUCUGCUUUCUGGUUUAGACAUUACAGCUAUGGAAUAGUGCGUAGGUGUUGUGUUACUUUAGACAUAACUGUUGCUGGGACUUGUAGACUGGCAGUGCUAAUUGUAAACAGACUACAGAGUACGUGUACUGUGCUCUUAUCCGCGUCAGUGUACUUAUCGAGUGCAAGUUAUCACAGUAAGAACUUAAGCUUGGCCAAUCACAUAUAUACAGAAGCAAGCUAGACUGCCCAGAUACAACGCGGAACGCGUACAUGUUUGGCUACCCGAAAUGGGUUCCCAGGUGGCAUGAUUUCACUCGCCAAACUAAUUCAUCUCUAGGCAAUGAGUAGUCUGUGCUUCCACUCCACGUAUAUCUGUUCAGAGUGUGAAUCAGGCGACUUCAGCUUGAACAGCAGUCUCUUACCCUCGAGAAGCCGUACUCAAGA